rnacentral:sRNA from 1 species
GUUUUCUUCUUCUUCUUCUUCCUCUUCUUUU